ensembl:snoRNA SNORA62 Small nucleolar RNA SNORA62/SNORA6 family
ACUACACAUUGUUAGAGGUUGGAGUUGAGGGUACUGGCUAGCUGAUGAACUCAGUGUAGGUAUUGUGCUACAUGAGAGGCAAGACUUUAAUACCACAGGAGUCUCUGGCCCAAUGAGUGGAGUUUGAUGGUAAUUCUUGCUACAAGU